AUUGAACGCUGGCGGCAUGCUUUACACAUGCAAGUCGGACGAGUGGCGAACGGGUGAGUAAUAUAUCGGACCGUACCGAGUAAUGGGGGAUACCUAAUCGAAAGAUUAGCUAAUACCGCAUAUUAUUCGAGCGGCCGAUAUCUGAUUAGCUAGGUGGUGGGGUAAAGGCCUACCAAGUCGACGAUCAGUAGCGGGUCUGAGAGGAGGAUCCGCCACACUGGGACUGAGACACGUCCCAGACUCCUACGGGAGGCAGCAGUGGGGAAUUUUGGACAAUGGGCGCAAGCCUGAUCCAGCCAUGCCGCGUGUCUGAAGAAGGCCUUCGGGUUGUAAAGGACUUUUGUCAGGGAAGCGGUACCUGCAGAAUAAGCACCGGCUAACUACGUGCCAGCAGCCGCGGUAAUUC
rnacentral:rRNA from 1 species